CAGAAAAGGGGGAUACCGGUGAAGCGCUUAUGUGGAAAGAAAAAAUAGAUAUGAAAUCCCAAUAAAGAAGGAUUGAACAUUUGGAAUACAAAGAAGGGAGAGGGUCGCCUAAACGGACCCUAAGGCGCAAGAACCUGAGCUAAGUUUAUUAGCUCAGAAAAGUGUGAGUUGACAUUUGGCAUUUAUUUAAAAUCUUUUCCUUUUAUUAUACAGUUUGCACUAUGUUGUGUUUCUUUCUAUUUUCUGUUUAAAGAUAUACACAGAAUUGUUGAUAACUCAAAAAGGGAAC